GUGGGACACUGGCAGGGUCAAUCAGGUGGAUAUAUCAAUUUGAACCCUUCAUAAUAUAUGUUUCCUCAUCAUUCCAAGAUUCCUAUCAUGAUCACGGAAUAGAAACAACAUGGAUCAUAAACAUCGAUACUUGGAAAGCUGCCAAAAGCCUUCAUCGCCAAGUGCUCCAGUUUUGUUUGAUGACCUAGAAGACGUAUUUACAGAAAAUUCUGAUUUUCCUUACCAAACAAACGUUGAUGCAAUCACUAAAGAGGGUAUCCCGAAAACAUCAACUCCAGCCAAGAAAAAUGGAGCAGAAAAGGGUAGGUCGCGAAAAAAAAAUCUUAGUUUAAAACCAAUUCGUGUAGAAUCUUAGUUUAAAACCAAUUCGUGUAGAAUCUUGCUAGGCAGAGAGAGAAAGAGAGUGGUAUGGGGCCACGGAAAUGAGGGAGGAGGGGUGGGGGUCAAUAAUUAUUAAUGGAAAGAGAAACUACAGGGGGGUGCAUGCGGAAAAAUAUCAUAUGGUGGCACCCCUUCAGGUUUACCAUUUUAUAGUUACUUUAUAUCCCGGUAACGGGUCAGCCAUGUGAAAGUCAUGGGGUACCAUGGUCAUAUGGCAAAUUUGUCAUUGAAAGGAUAUUAAAGGUAUAGUGUAUGAUUGGUUGAUCUCAGACAAGGGCAAUGAAUCAAUUUUGAAAUUAUUACAUUCAUUAAAUACCUAUAUUAUUGCUCUAUUUUAUCACGGAAAAGAAACUUGCAUAACUUUUAUAUUUUCAUGAUAUUGAGGGGUGAAACAUAUAUUAUAACAAAUGUCGGUUAAACGAGAUAAGGUUGAACUUUCUUAUUGACGCCCUCUCGGGUUAAAAAAUAAAUUGAUAUUAGAACAC